rnacentral:rRNA from 1 species
UACAGAGGGUGCAAGCGUUAAUCGGAAUUACUGGGCGUAAAGCGCGCGUAGGUGGUUCGUUAAGUUGGACGUGAAAUCCCCGGGCUCAACCUGGGAACUGCAUUCAAAACUGUCGAGCUAGAGUAUGGUAGAGGGUGGUGGAAUUUCCUGUGUAGCGGUGAAAUGCGUAGAUAUAGGAAGGAACACCAGUGGCGAAGGCGACCACCUGGACUGAUACUGACACUGAGGUGCGAAAGCGUGGGGAGCAAACAGG